GUGGGCCCUGCGGCUCCAAGCCCUCAGGGCCCAGUCACACUUCCGGCUGGGUCCCCACUGCUGUCUGGCUGUCGGCACAGAGCACCUUGGGGAAUCUUUUGCAUUGCAUCUUAUUUGGUUGUCUUUUCUAUGCAGUAAUGAUGGAGACGGAAGUGCUGCUGGAGAGGCAGUGGGGAGUGAACGUCGCGUCUGAGAGUACAUGGUCUAAGCCAGAGGGUCUCCAAGGGGGGCCCCGGGGCCAGCGGCAUCAGCAACUACUGUGAACAUGGGAGAAAUGCAGAUUCUCAGGGCCCCCUCCAAACACGCUGCUUUUGGUGCACCGUCAAGGGUGAGAAGCUCUGGUCUAAGAAAGUCGUGCACGCUAGAGGGACGCUAGGCGGUGGGCAUCCUCCCACACUGUCACAGGCAGGUCAGCUGCUGUCACUCUCCAUAGGCCGUGCUGCAUGGACACGCCAUGAAUUCCUCAGUCCUGCGUGUUUCCAGUCUUCUGUUACUACACUGCUGCAAAGGACUUCCCGUGUGUCUAUCUUUGCUCAACCCUGACAGCGUUUCUAUGAAAUGAAUUCUUUUCGUGUGUGUGUGUCUGAGGGCCAGAGAUCGAACCCGCAACACAGCAGGGACUUGAGCCAUAGCAGUGACAAUGCCCAAUCCUUAGCCCGCGAUGCCAUCAGCAGUUACAUAAAAGAAAUUAUUUUUUCAAUUAAUUUUUUUUAAUCCUGGCAACAAUAAACUUUGAGAACAAAAGCGCUUUUACGUUCUUAAUUAGGUGAGCUUCCCAUCUGUGGGCUCCAAGUGCCUCCCAAAAUAAAUUCUUAAGGGCGGAAUUGACUGGAUCAAAGGGCACACAAGUACAAACCUUGGUAGGAAUUGAUGGGUUUCUGUCCAAAAAGCGGACCAAUUGCGAUGCCCAGCGGUGGUGGGGGCCUGCGGAGACUCCGUGCCAGCACUCGGUUCCUUUGCAGUGCUGCUACCUGAUGCAUGAAAAAUGUCAUCACGUGGUUUUCAUUUG
rnacentral:lncRNA from 1 species